GGCCUCUUGGGCCCUCCCAAGGCUGUGUCCUUUGCAAGACUAUAUAGGAAGGGGAGACACAGUGAGCCCACCCGUAUACACCUCAGCCCUGCCCUUUGCUGGGUCUGUACUGGGAAUGGAGGGACAUGG
ensembl:snoRNA